AGAGUUUGAUCAUGGCUCAGAGCGAACGUUAGCGGCGGGCUAACACAUGCAAGUCGAACGAGAAUGAGGGGGCAACUCCUCUAGUAAAGUGGCGGACGGGUGCGUAACACGUGGGUAAUCUACCUUCCGGCGGGGGACAACAGUCCGAAAGGAUUGCUAAUACCGCGUACGUCAGCGAGACCUACGGGUCUUGUUGGGAAAGACGGCCUCUUCUUGAAAGCUGUCACCGGAAGAUGAGCCCGCGGCCCAUCAGCUAGUUGGUGAGGUAAUGGCUCACCAAGGCUUAGACGGGUAGCUGGUCUGAGAGGAUGAUCAGCCACACUGGGACUGCGACACGGCCCAGACUCCUACGGGAGGCAGCAGUGGGGAAUAUUGGGCAAUGGGCGAAAGCCUGACCCAGCCACGCCGCGUGAGUGAUGAAGGCCUUCGGGUCGUAAAGCUCUGUGGGGAGGGACGAACAAGCACCGUAUUAACACCACGGGGCCCUGACGGUACCUCCUUAGCAAGCACCGGCUAACCAUGUGCCAGCAGCCGCGGUAAUACAUGGGGUGCAAACGUUGCUCGGAAUUAUUGGGCGUAAAGCGCACGUAGGUGGUUUGUUAUGUCGGAUGUGAAAGCCCUCGGCUCAACUGAGGAAGUGCAUCCGAAACUGGCAAGCUAGAGUAUGUAAGAGGGUCGCGGAAUUCCCGGUGUAGAGGUGAAAUUCGUAGAUAUCGGGAGGAACACCGGUGGCGAAGGCGGCGACCUGGGACAAUACUGACACUGAGGUCGAAAGCGUGGGGACAAACAGGAUUAGAUACCCNNGUAGUCC
rnacentral:rRNA from 1 species